UACGUAGGGGGCUAGCGUUAUCCGGAAUUACUGGGCGUAAAGGGUGCGUAGGUGGUUUCUUAAGUCAGAGGUGAAAGGCUACGGCUCAACCGUAGUAAGCCUUUGAAACUGGGAAACUUGAGUGCAGGAGAGGAGAGUGGAAUUCCUAGUGUAGCGGUGAAAUGCGUAGAUAUUAGGAGGAACACCAGUGGCGAAGGCGACUUACUGGACUGUAACUGACGCUGAGUCACGAAAGCGUGGGUAGCAAACAGGAUUAGAUACCCCGGUAGUCCCUGAGCGGGCUGG
rnacentral:rRNA from 1 species